AGCUCCAAUAGCGUAUAUUAAAGUUGUUGCGGUUAAAAAGCUCGUAGUUGGAUUUCUGCCGAGGACGACCGGUCCGCCCAUUGGGUGAGUAUCUGGUUCGGCCUGGGCAUCUUCUUGGAGAACGUAGCUGCACUUGACUGUGUGGUGCGGUAUCCAGGACUUUUACUUUGAGGAAAUUAGAGUGUUUCAAGCAGGCUUACGCCUUGAAUACAUUAGCAUGGAAUAAUAAUAUAGGACCUCGGUUCUAUUUUGUUGGUUUCUAGAGCUGAGGUAAUGAUUAAUAGGGAUAGUUGGGGGUGCUAGUAUUGGCCGGCCAGAGGUGAAAUUCUUGGAUUCGGUCAAGACUAACUUAUGCGAAAGCAUUCACCAAGGAUGUCUUCUUUA
rnacentral:rRNA from 1 species